GGUCACAAUGCCUUUCAUAUUCAUGGUAACUGUCUCCUAGGUGAAAGGAGGCCAGGGAAGAUGGUCAGCAAGACCUCCUAAGACCUCCUACUUUUAGUCAAAGACCAAGGAAGCAGAGCAGCUACUACAGGCCACAAUAACUUCACAGGAGCUAAGGGAAUCAGGCCAGUAAACUCCAAAUAUUUGACUUCAUCAUGUCAUCUGAUGUAAAGAUCCAGAGGGGUAAAAGUUCAUCAGGGAGGAAGGACUGUAGGAGCCAGAGAGGUCGAGGACAACAGGAGAACACAGCCCAAAGAAUCAAGGUAAUGGUAGGAUCAAACCCCUUUCACAAAUCCACUUGGGAUGCUGGAGCCACAUAUCCUGAUUCCCGGAGCUUUGCACGGCAAAGCUGGUGCUAUUGAUUAUUGCAAGUGACACAGGUGGCUGCAACAAGGAGCACAGGUUAGUAUCAUGUGGUCCACAUAGCUUGAUGAGAUUUAUGCUUGGUCACAUGCUAGACUCUUCAUUACCGGCUUAAUGAUAGGUACCCUCUGGAUACAUUUGCCUCAUUAGCUGUCCCGAUCGUUCACUAGCUCUCAAAUAAACAAAACCAUGCCACUCCAUGAUAAUGCAGAGAGGAGCCUCGUGCUUAAUGUGUAAAGGAUACAGGUACGCUAAAAUGAAAACAGUCAAUCCCCAAUUUAUACUAAGAAGCAAUAACUAAAUCAAAAUUUACCUAAGGAUGUGAAUGUGCUUAAGUAUAUUUGCACAUAUAUUAUGUAUAAUGCAAUAUUUAUAAUUCAGACUUCUACUACAGUACAUCAGUGUACACAGGAAAUAAGUACUUACAUUUACCCAUACAGAAAUGUUAAGAGUAGCACUUACUUAGACUCUAGCUCAAUCCCCAGCAACAAAAUGUUGAUGUUUCAAAACAACUUUAUUCAUAACAAUUAAAACUCACAAACCUCACUAUCCAUCUGAUAACAGAUGGAUAAAUUAUGGCAUAGUCAUAUAUAACCAGAUCCUAUACACAUUUGGAGAAAAGAGGACAUACUCAAAGUAUUUGCUGUAUUUAUUCCAUUCAUAGAAAGUUCAAGAAUAGGCAAAAUUCAAGGAUGGUGAUACAGGGCAGAAAACUGCUUUACUUUUUGUAUCUGUUUGUAUGUAGUGAGGGAGAGGGGCAAUGAUUAUAGUUACCGGGAUAACUAUACUAGUAGAAACAUUGUGUUUCUGUUUCAUUGGUUUGUUUGAGGUCUUUGAGAUAGAGUCCCUGGCUGCCCUGGGACUCACUCUGUAGACCAAGCUAGCCUCAAACUCAGAGAUCUGCCUGCCUCUGCCUCCUGAGAAUAUUUUGAUAACAGAUCAUCUAUAUGUGAAUUAUGCGGUUAAGUCAUUGGGCUACAUUUUAAGAUUCUUAAAUAUAUUUUGUUAUAAGUAAAUUUUACUUCAAUUUUAAACAAGUAAAAAUAGGUUGCUCUAUUGGACAGUAUAUCCAUCAAAUAGUGCAAAACAUAUUUACUCUUUUCACUGUCUAUUAAUACAUUUUGUGUAAUUGCUAAAGUCCUUUAGCUAUUAAGCAAUAGUGGGUACCUUCACUAGCUGAUUGCAAGUAGAGCCUUCCUACACCUUUAUGUGGGAUAGCAAAAGCCAUGCUCCCUUCUAAGUAGAUGGAUUAUUACAUUUAAACAACAACAACAAAAACCCACCUAAGAUCUAUUGUAGAGUGUGUCAUGGCUUAGUGACCAACCAACCCAUGGAGGUAGGGUUUCACUUCCUUUGUCCUACUGGCUGUCAUACAGAAUGUAACCUUGUAACUACUUAAGACCUGCCCUACUAUCCAGAAGGAAACUGGGAAAGCUCAUGAGACCUGGGGGCAGUCAGGUCUAAGAAGGAACUAUUACUUGGACCAGGAGAAUUGCCAAGCUGAAGACAGAGCUCUCUCUUGGUAACACUGUCUCUGUCUCUCCUUUUCCCUUUAUACAAGCCUGUUUUCUCCAUUUCUUUCAAGCUGACCUCCUACCACACCAUGGUAUACAUUUUCAUGUCACACACACACACACACACACACACACACACACACACACACACACACAACAUAGAAUGAACAAAAAAAGAGAAAAUAAAAAACUCCAACAGUCAGAGGCUAAAUCACAUAACAUUUCAUUUUUCUUGCACAAGUCUACAGCUGCCACCACUGAUAUUAUUCAGUGACUUGUGGUAGCAGAGCCAGGAUGAUGAAACUUCCUCUUUCUUCCUUCAUUUGGACUCACGGGCACAAAAUGUCUGUUAUGACUCUAGACACUGUAUCUAUCCAAAGCCAAAAGAAACAAAGAAGGGUCACUAGUAUGACACUAGGAGUUUUGCUUAACAUGCCCAUCCAUGUUGAAGGUUAAAGAUGAGAAACUCAAGUAAUGAUCAGAGAAUUACCAUGCCAAUCAAGGCUUGGGUCCCUUCAGUGAGGCAAUGUGGAAUGGAGGUCAGCUAGGUUACAACAUGUCCACAACCCCACUGAAUUCUAGGAAUCCAUUUUAUCUGGAAACUUGAUAGCUAUUCGUGAUCAUGCCUGAACAGAAGUGAUGAAAGGCAUAUUUGAUUCCUUUAAAAAUUCAUUGAGGGACAGUGAUCAGGUGUGGGGAAAGAAAGGAAGGGAGAGGGCUGGGAGUGAAAGGGAGAUGGUAGGGAGGGCAUCUCAGGUGACUAGACAGAGGCUAGGGACAGGGGAGGAUAGGGAAGUCUAUGGGGUGACUCUAGCUGCGAUUCCUACCAGAGAGGGAUAUAGAGACUAAAGUGGGCACCUCCUGUAGCCAGGCAGGACUUUUGGUAGAGUAAUAAGGACAUCAACUCACCCACAACCUUCAACCCAAAAUUUGUCCCGCCUACAAGAUGUGCAGGGAUAAAGAUGGAGCCGAGAGUUAGGGAAUGGCUAAACAAUGAUCGGCCCAGCUUGAGACCUACCCUGUGAGAGAGAGCCAACCCCUGACACUAUUAAUGACACUGUGCUAUUCUUGCAGACAGGACCUUAGUCUUCCGAGAGGCUUCAUCCAACAGCCAAUGGAACCAAACUCAGAAACCCACGGCCAAACAUCAGGUGGAGCUCAGGGAGUCUUGUGGAAGAGAGGGGAAUAGAAGUAAGCAAGCUGGAGGUGACAAGGACACCACAAGUCCUACAUAGUCAGCUAACCUAGGACUAUAGGGACUCACAAAGACUGAACCACCAACCAAAGAGCAUGCAGGGGCUGGACCUAGGCCCCCUAUACAUUUACAGCAAAUAUAUGACUUGGUCUUUGUGUGGGUUCCCUAACAAAUGGAGCAGGGGUUGUUUCCAUCUCUGUUCCCUGCCACUGGAUCCCCUUCUCCUACACGGACUGGCUGGUUGGGCCUCAGUGGGAGAAUAUGUGUCCAGUCUGCUGGGACUAUCCCAUGGUGGGGAGGAAUCCAAGGGGAGCUCCCCUUUCUCUGAUGACAAGGAGAGGGGAAAAUGGGGGAGGGAUUUAUGAGAGUGGGACAGGGAGUAGGAGA